CUCAUAACUCAGUCAUGUGGGCGAGGUUCACUGAGGAUUGGGAAGCUGCAUCCCUGGCAUGGAGAUGUUUUGUCACCUGUUAUCAGCAUCACCAGCACCUUGGUACACUAGAAAUCCUGAAUCCUCUUCUGCAUCACCUCACAGCUUUUGCACAAGGACUGCAAAAGGUGCCUGCUGACUGAGCCAAAAGGCUGGUGGGCUGAAACACUUUUGGCUGCAGAGAAGGGAUUAAACUUGGACUCCAUUAAGUGACUGUAGCUGGAAGGGAAUUCAGUGAAAGGAGUAAAUCUUGGCUUUCUGACACCUAACCUGUUUUCAUCCAGACAUCCCUACCCUGCUGCUGCAGAACUGGC